AGAGUUUGAUCAUGGCUCAGAUUGAACGCUGGCGGCAUGCUUUACACAUGCAAGUCGAACGGCAGCACGGGGGCAACCCUGGUGGCGAGUGGCGAACGGGUGAGUAAUAUAUCGGAACAUAUCCGGAAGUGGGGGAUAACGUAGCGAAAGUUACGCUAAUACCGCAUAUGCCCUGAGGGGGAAAGGAGGGGAUCGUAAGACCUUUCGCUUUCGGAGUGGCCGAUAUCAGAUUAGCUAGUUGGUGGGGUAAAGGCCUACCAAGGCAACGAUCUGUAGCUGGUCUGAGAGGACGACCAGCCACACUGGGACUGAGACACGGCCCAGACUCCUACGGGAGGCAGCAGUGGGGAAUUUUGGACAAUGGGGGCAACCCUGAUCCAGCCAUGCCGCGUGAGUGAAGAAGGCCUUCGGGUUGUAAAGCUCUUUCGGACAGAAAGAAAUCGUGCAGGCUAAUACCCUGUAUGGAUGACGGUACUGUAAGAAGAAGCACCGGCUAACUACGUGCCAGCAGCCGCGGUAAUACGUAGGGUGCGAGCGUUAAUCGGAAUUACUGGGCGUAAAGCGUGCGCAGGCGGUUUUGUAAGACAGACGUGAAAUCCCCGGGCUUAACCUGGGAACUGCGUUUGUGACUGCAAGGCUAGAGUACGGCAGAGGGGGGUAGAAUUCCACGUGUAGCAGUGAAAUGCGUAGAUAUGUGGGAGGAAAUACCGAUGGCGAASGCAGCCCCCCUGGGUCGAUACUGACGCUCAUGCACGAAAGCGUGGGGGAGCAAACARGGAUUAGAUACCCCUGGUURGKCCACGCCCUAAAACGAUGUCGACUAGGUGUUUGGGGGGAGGAGACUUCCCUUAGUACCCGCRGCUAACGCGUGAAGCUUGACCGCCUGGGGGARGUACGGCCGCCAGGGUUGAAACUCAAAGGAAUUGACGGGGACCUGCACAAGCCGUGGGAUUAUGUGGAAUUAAUUUCGAUGCAACGCGGAAACCUUACCUACCCCUUGGACUGG
rnacentral:rRNA from 1 species